UUUUUAUUCUUAUCUAUAAAGGAAUUAAGUGAAUACUAGAUUUAAUUAUUUAUAUAGUAACCAAGUUUUUAUUUUAAAAAUACGUAAGCUUGGCUCUGACUUAUUGAUAUAGCAAGGACUAGAUAAUACACAUGGUUUUUAUUGAAGGAGGCGAGGUAAAAAAGAUUACAGUAAAAAUAUAUAAUUUAAACUGAUGUUCUUUUUUAAAGUAUUAUAGAUGUAAAAAAUGCUUUGAAAAGUCCCGCUAACUCCAGUGCUGAAGGUUAAUAAAAAAGUGAAAGCUUGAAUUAAUUUAGUAGAAUAAAAUCUGGUUAACUUGGUGCCAGCAUCCGCGGUUAGACCAAGAGAUUAAGUUAUAUUUUAAGGUGAAAAGACAGUUAGGCCUAAAAUAAUUUUAUAGUUCAUUGAUCGUUUAUAAAAAAGUAAAAUUUGUAUAUAAACAGUUAAUUUAGUUAUAACUAGUUUGCUGAAGCUGUGAUAGUCCUGGGGGAAACUGGGAUUAGAUACCCCAUUAUUCUUGACUGUAAAUCUAAUUAAAUUUACCAGAGUACUAUGAAUGUUUAAUAAAAAUUUAAAACUCAAAGGGCUUGGCGGUGUUUUAGACCUAUUAGGGGAACCUGUCUCAUAAUCGACAAUCCACGUUAAACCUAGCCCUAUUUUGUAUCCAGUUUGUAUACCGUCGUCGUCAGGUAACUUUUAAAAAAUUAGAAGUUAGCAAUAAAAAUUUUGUAAACUAAAACGUCAGAUCAAGGUGCAGCCAAUAAAAGGGAGAGGAUGGGUUACAAUUAUUUUAUUUAUAAUUACGGAAAAUUAUAUGAAAAUGUAAUUAGAAGGAGGACUUGAAAGUAAAAUAACAUACACAAACAAUUUGAAUAUGGCUCUGAAACGUGCACACAUCGCCCGUCGCUCUCGUUGAAAAAAUGAGAUAAGUCGUAACAUAGCAGAGGUAAUGGAAAUUUGUCUCUAGAUG
rnacentral:rRNA from 1 species